UUGAACGCUGGCGGCAGGCCUAACACAUGCAAGUCGAGCGGAUGAAGGGAGCUUGCUCCUGGAUUCAGCGGCGGACGGGUGAGUAAUGCCUAGGAAUCUGCCUGGUAGUGGGGGAUAACGUCCGGAAACGGGCGCUAAUACCGCAUACGUCCUGAGGGAGAAAGUGGGGGAUCUUCGGACCUCACGCUAUCAGAUGAGCCUAGAUCGGAUUAGCUAGUUGGUGGGGUAAAGGCCUACCAAGGCGACGAUCCGUAACUGGUCUGAGAGGAUGAUCAGUCACACUGGAACUGAGACACGGUCCAGACUCCUACGGGAGGCAGCAGUGGGGAAUAUUGGACAAUGGGCGAAAGCCUGAUCCAGCCAUGCCGCGUGUGUGAAGAAGGUCUUCGGAUUGUAAAGCACUUUAAGUUGGGAGGAAGGGCAGUAAGUUAAUACCUUGCUGUUUUGACGUUACCAACAGAAUAAGCACCGGCUAACUUCGUG
rnacentral:rRNA from 1 species